GAGUCCACAUAUUAUAAAAACAAUCAACCCGCAGAGUCUACAUGAAGUAUAGACAGCAACGUUUAACUGUUCAUAGGAUUUCAAGGAUACUUUUUUGAGUCCAAAUGGCGAGAAAUUGGAAAAGACUAAGAAGCUUGUGGUCGGAGUAAAAUGUAAGACAAGAAAAGCUUGCCAAAUGUAAAAUGCAACAAAUAUUUACCAUUCAUGACAGAAAAGAGCUUGUGGUCGGAGUGAAAUGCAGAUUGAAAAGCUGAAUCCGAGUAUAGGCCGGCCCAAUAGGUCGAUUGGCUGUAGAUCGAGUGGGCCGAAUUAAAUUGACAGGCCCUAUAGAUCGAAUGGGCCUUAUGUCGUUAAAGCGACAGCGCAAAGGGUCUAGGCCUAACGAAAUGGGCCAUUCUUAAGAGCCCAAACUAGGUCAUUUUGAUAACGCGUCUGAACCUAUAUAGGGCCUCAAAGGCUUUCCAUUAAUUAUGUACAUAGUUUCCAAAUUGGUCAAUUUGGGCCCGGUCCAUUAACAGCCUCGCUUUUUUCCCCACCAUUGUCAAACGUCUGUGUGUGUGGGCUACAAACAACUCUCUCUCUCUCUCUCUCUCUCUCUCUCUCUCUCUCUAUCUCUCACGCGCCAUUGGCGGGGUCUUGGAGCUCUUGGCCGUGAGGCGCGCCAUUGGCGGGUUCUUCGCGGUGAGGCGCCCAUGGCGUCUUUCUAAAGCGGCCCCGGGGCGAUUUCUCCCGUAACCAAUCCGUGGCCACCAACGCCUCUCGAUUUGAUUCCUCCCGAUCUCCUCGACGACGUCAAUUUGGUCCAAAUCCUAAACGGUGGCGAAACCCUAAGUACCCUCAGUUUUAUUCGCCGAAUGUUUUACAGGAGGUGAUUAUUGCAGAAAGCAAGAGCAAAAACUAGCUCAAGAGGCACUUUUAUCGCAGAGGAAGUAAUAGUUAAGAAAAUAGAUGAUUAGAGAGAUAUGUGGAUGCCUGGAAGAAGCCCCAUUCUUUGCAGGCGAGAUCGAGUCUUUUUCGUUCAUCUUCGUGUCCGCCCGAAAGCAAAGAGAAAUCAAUAACAGGGAUAUCAGGUGUGAUAGCAGAGACCACCCCUCUAUCUUUUGGCCUUUCGGCAUGAUCUCUGAUGUAUCUUUCAGGUACAGAGCUUGGAUCUCUCCUUACAAGCUCCUGAACACUCUGCACAGGAAGAGAUUUUCCCCAUCCUAGCCCUUCUUCUUCUUCUUCUUCUUCUUCUUCUUGUUCUUUGUAAGAGGCUCCGUUCUCCAUCCCAAGCUCCAUGUCUUCACUCCUAUUAUUUAGCUUAUUACCUUCUCUCAGCUUUAUAUGAAAAUUCAUGCUCAUCUACUGUACAUGAUGUUGUUGAAUUUGUAGCUUUGUUGAAUAUUCCGGUUAUGAAGAUAAAGCUUGAGCUAGUGAAAGAUUUGUUU